GAGUCAUUGGGACUUUAAUAAACCUAAAGGCGCAAUGAAAGUAAAAGUCCGCCUUGUGCGGACGUAGGGAGGAUGGGACCGUUCUCGGACGGACCCCGCACUCCCGGGGCGUCUCGUUCUCAUCGCGAGAAGAGGCGCACCUAGAGCGUACACGCUGGGACCCGAAAGAUGGUGAACUAUGCCUGGUCAGGACGAAGUCAGGGGAAACCCUGAUGGAGGUCCGUAGCGAUUCUGACGUGCAAAUCGAUCGUCGGAACUGGGUAUAGGGGCGAAAGACUAAUCGAACCUUCUAGUAGCUGGUUCCCUCCGAAGUUUCCCUCAGGAUAGCUGGCGCUCGCAUUGCGAGUCUCAUUCGGUAAAGCGAAUGAUUAGAGGCAUUGGGGUCGAAACGGCCUCAACCUAUUCUCAAACUUUAAAUGGGUGAGAUCUCCGGCUUGCUUAAAUAGUGAAGCCGCGAGAUUAAAUUCGGAUCAAUGAGUGCCAAGUGGGCCACUUUUGGUAAGCAG
rnacentral:rRNA from 1 species